UGUCUUCAGGGCGGGGCGAAAUUCCCCACCGGCGGUAUAGUCCGCGAGCGGCUCCCUCGGGAGUGUCAGCUGACCCGUUGCAACUACGGGACCGACAGUCACAGUCUGGAUGGAAGAAGAUG
rnacentral:ncRNA from 1 species